UAGCGGAGGAAAAGAAACCAACAGGGAUUGCCUCAGUAACGGCGAGUGAAGCGGCAAAAGCUCAAAUUUUAAAGCUGGCACCUCCGGUGUCCGCGUUGUAAUUUUGUGAGGCAUCUCCGGGUGGGGCGCCGGCCUAAGUUCCUUGGAACAGGACGUCAUAGAGGGUGAGAAUCCCGUGCUUGGCUGGCUGUCCCCGUCCAUGUGAGGUGUCUUCGACGAGUCGAGUUGUUUGGGAAUGCAGCUCAAAAUGGGUGGUAAAUUUCAUCUAAAGCUAAAUAUUGGUGGGAGACCGAUAGCGCACAAGUAGAGUGAUCGAAAGAUGAAAAGCACUUUGAAAAUAGAGUUAAAAAGUACGUGAAAUUGUUGAAAGGGAAGCGCUUGAGACCAGACUUCGGUGGGGAGUGAUCAGCCGUCCUUCUGGGCGGUGCACUUGCCCCCCUCCGGGCCAGCAUCGGUUGGGACGGCGGGAUAAAGGUCCCGGGAAUGUGGCUCCUCUCGGGGAGUGUUAUAGCCCGGGUGAAUGCCGCCAGCCCCGACCGAGGACCGCGCCUUCGGGCUAGGAUGCUUGGCAUAAUGGUCUUCAGCGACCCGUCUUGA
rnacentral:rRNA from 1 species